rnacentral:rRNA from 1 species
UACGAAGGGGGCUAGCGUUGCUCGGAAUGACUGGGCGUAAAGGGCGCGUAGGCGGCUUGUAGAGUCGGGUGUGAAAUUCCUGGGCUUAACCUGGGGGCUGCAUUCGAUACGUAUGGGCUUGAGUGCGGAAGAGGGUCGUGGAAUUCCCAGUGUAGAGGUGAAAUUCGUAGAUAUUGGGAAGAACACCGGUGGGCGAAGGCGGCCAC